rnacentral:rRNA from 1 species
GAUGAACGCUGGCGGCGUGCUUAACACAUGCAAGUCGAACGGAAAGGCUCCUGCUUGCAGGGGUACUCGAGUGGCGAACGGGUGAGUAACACGUGGGUGAUCUGCCCUGCACUUCGGGAUAAGCCUGGGAAACUGGGUCUAAUACCGGAUAGGACGAUGGUUUGGAUGCCAUUGUGGAAAGUUUUUCGGUGUGGGAUGAGCUCGCGGCCUAUCAGCUUGUUGGUGGGGUAAUGGCCUACCAAGGCGUCGACGGGUAGCCGGCCUGAGAGGGUGUACGGCCACAUUGGGACUGAGAUACGGCCCAGACUCCGACGGGAGGCAGCAGUGGGGAAUAUUGCACAAUGGGCGCAAGCCUGAUGCAGCGACGCCGCGUGGGGGAUGACGGCCUUCGGGUUGUAAACUCCUUUCGCUAGGGACGAAGCGUUUUGUGACGGUACCUGGAGAAGAAGCACCGGCUAACUACGUG